rnacentral:lncRNA from 1 species
CUCAAAUUUAAAUUUCAAUGUAAAACAUAAAAUAAUUUGUCCAUCAAAUACACAUAUACAUACAUAAUAAAGCAUGAAGUCAAUAGUCAAUAAACCCAGCUAAGAGACCGUGAAAGCUAAUCAUCAUCCUCAAGAACACUUCGACGUCUCGUUAUCUGAAAAAGUAAACGAAAAAAAAUAAUGAAAAGUAAGUAAAAAAACUGAUAAAUGAAUACGGAACAAUGCAGCUAAUAUUCUACAACUUACUGUAACUUUUGUCUGCUUUGCUGUUUGGCUGUUAAUCUGCUCCAGCAGUGUUAUGAGUCUUUCUUCAGUAACCUAAUAAUUCAAUUUCAUAAAUGAGUCAUGGAUGUUAUCUAGGUACAAUAAUGCUUCAUAUGGACUAAUUACUUGAUGUCCACCGGGACAUGAUAUCUGUAUAUAAGCAACAAAAAAGAAAUACAAUUGGAACUAGUAAUUUCUUAGUUUCAGUUUUUGGAAGGAAAAUUUAAUGGCUUUUAUUAUUCAAGAAAAUAGGGGGGACGGGGCAUUACAAAAUGAAACAGGCUAAGGAAAACAAUGUAAAACCAUCAUCUCAUAGAUUUAUAUAUCAACACUAAUACUAUUAGAACUGUCAAAUAUACUGAAACUUCCAGUGACCUGAAGUUGGCUCACAUAAGUCACCAUCAAAAAACCAAAUCCUUGCAAUUUAAACACAUUAUAGAAAAGCCACCUAAUCAACUCAUUCUCAACCAACCCUUAGACUGCCUAACUGAUACUUCUGACUUUAAGCAUCUUACUGACAAACAAGGUUGUCAUAAUCACAAAUCCAAAUGUAGAACUGCACUACUUUUGUGCAACUAUUCAUUACAAGUCCAGUACCAAAUUCUUGAAACACACUCACAAACCUGAACAAACCAAGGAUAAACAAACACACCUCCACCUCAAAAAAAAAAAAAAAAAAAAAACCUAAAUGCAUACCCACAAUCAGCGCGCUUUGCAGUGGGAAGGCAAUUUCCCUUCUCUGACACAAAGUGCUUCAAGCCUGCUACUGAUUCUGCCUUUGCAGUCCUUCUACAAAGUAUCCAUCUGAGUUGCUACUUCAGUAUUUCAAGCACCAACUUUAAUUCAGAUGAGUUGAAAAAGAAAGAUUUAUUGGAUAGUUUUCGCUAGGUGUGGGCAAAUACGGAUCAACCCGAAUUAACCCGAUCAACCCGACAUAAUUUUAUACAUUCGGUUCCGGUUAAAACAGGUUACGGGUUGUCCGGGUUAAUAUUACGGGUUGUUAUGGGUAUAUUCGGUUCGGUUCGGGUGUUUAUUUUGAACCUGUCGGAACCCGAUCAAACCGAUAUUAUUAUUACUUUAAUAUUUAUUAUUAGUUUUUUCAACCUAGCUUGAAUAAAAAAUACGUUUCUCAGCAGGCCCAAAUAUGUUUCACUAUUUCAGUCCAACACCAUAACAUAAAACAAAAAUCCCCAAUUGAAAAUGAAAAGAAAAACUAGAUCUAGAUCUAGAUCAUUUUGUUUCUCUCUCUCACGAUUUUCUUCUUCUCACAUGUUCCUCAUUUCUUCUUCUUCUUUCUUCAUUCUUCCUUCCUUAGCUCACAAUUGUUCGAAACAUCAUUCUUCCUUCCUUCUUUCACAAAUACAUGUGUUCAUCUACAAGUAAAUUAAUUCUAAAAAUAAAUUAAAUUGUGUGGAUCUAAAAAUGGUGAAGAAAAAACUGGUUGUUGUUGUUUCUACUAAAGGAGGGGCUGUUUGAGGAGAUUGUUUUUCUGGAUUUGUCAUCAUCUUCAUCAACCUGUUGACCCGAACCGGUUUUACCCGAAACCCGAAGUAACCGAACCCGAACUACCCGAAUCAAAAACUUGGUUCAAUAGGGUUAUUGUUCAUAACUCGUGGGUUGUCUCGGUUUGGGGGGUUUGAACCCGAACCGACCCAAUGCCCACCCCUAGUUUUUGCUAUGUGGGUUUGCAGGAAAAAGCCUUCCAGUAUUUCCAAUUGCAGCGCAGACUCACCUUUUCAGGUUUCUAUAUGAUAAUAGCUCGCAAGAAAAGGGGGAAAAAAGGCGACAGUACUUUAUUUUACUUGCAUUGUAAUAGUAUACUUUAAUUGUAAUUUCUAAAGAAUAACCAUAUGAGGUAAGAUCUAAUGUUCCAUAUUAAGAUAUCAUGUGUCUAGUUCCCUACUGUAGUAUAGGAUUCCGAAAACUUUUAUAUCAAAGAUCAUUAUAAACAAAAUAGUAGGGCUUUGCAUGUAAGUUACACGAUAGAUAAGAACACUAAACCUCUAAUAUUAGAAAACCACGUUAUACCAUUCGUGGAAUUGUUGCCAACAUUUUUAUAUAUCCUAGAUAGAGGACCUUUCUCGGCCCGACAACUGAUCAAACAAAUCGAUUGUAUAACUAGAACCUCACAAAUCGUAUGACAAUAUAUGCAACAAAAUAUUACCAAUAACUUGUGAUAAGAAUGAGAAAGAUUGCAGCAAUAGACAUGAUCCAAUAUACCUUUUCAGCUAUCUGACCCAUUUGAGCAGCUCUCAAUAUAACAUCUUCAACACCUUUUGCUUUCUCUGGUUUCACCAAAGCAAUUCGAGCAA